GACGAACGCUGGCGGCGUGCCUAAUACAUGCAAGUCGAGCGAAUCAAUAGGAGCUUGCUCCUGUUGAUUAGCGGCGGACGGGUGAGUAACACGUGGGCAACCUGCCUGUAAGACUGGGAUAACACCGGGAAACCGGUGCUAAUACCGGAUUAUCCUUUUCCUCUCAUGAGGGAAAGCUGAAAGUCGGUUUCGGCUGAGAAUUACAGAUGAGCCCCCGGCGCAUUAGCUAGUUGGUGUGGUAACGGCGCACCACGGCGACGAUGCGUAGCCGACCUGAGAGGGUGAUCGGCCACACUGGGACUGAGACACGGCCCAGACUCCUACGGGAGGCAGCAGUAGGGAAUCUUCCACAAUGGACGAAAGUCUGAUGGAGCAACGCCGCGUGAGCGAUGAAGGCCUUCGGGUCGUAAAGCUCUGUUGUUAGGGAAGAACAAGUACCGGAGUAACUGCCGGUACCUUGACGGUACCUAACCAGAAAGCCACGGCUAACUACGUGCCAGCAGCCGCCGUAA
rnacentral:rRNA from 1 species